GACGUAGGGCGCGAGCGUGUCCGGAUUUAUUGGGCGUAAAGAGCUCGUAGGCGGUGUGUCACGUCGGCCGUGAAAACCUGCAGCUUAACUGUGGGCGUGCGGUCGAUACGGGCAUCACUGGAGUUCGGCAGGGGAGACUGGAAUUCCUGGUGUAGCGGUGAAAUGCGCAGAUAUCAGGAGGAACACCGGUGGCGAAGGCGGGUCUC
rnacentral:rRNA from 1 species